rnacentral:misc_RNA from 1 species
AACAUCGCGCACCUGCGGGAACCUGCGGAAGGAUCAUUACCGAGUUAUACAACUCCCAAACCCACUGUGAACCUUACCUCAGUUGCCUCGGCGGGAACGCCCCGGCCGCCUGCCCCCGCGCCGGCGCCGGACCCAGGCGCCCGCCGCAGGGACCCCAAACUCUCUUGCAUUACGCCCAGCGGGCGGAAUUUCUUCUCUGAGUUGCACAAGCAAAAACAAAUGAAUCAAAACUUUUAACAA